AUUGAACGCUGGCGGCAUGCUUUACACAUGCAAGUCGAACGGCAGCGCGGGGCAACCUGGCGGCGAGUGGCGCACGGGUGAGUAAUAUAUCGGAACGUACCCAGAAGUGGGGGAUAACGUAGCGAAAGUUACGCUAAUACCGCAUACGAUCUACGGAUGAAAGUAGGGGACCGCAAGGCCUUAUGCUUUUGGAGCGGCCGAUACCUGAUUAGCUAGUUGGUGAGGUAAAGGCUCACCAAGGCGACGAUCAGUAGCUGGUCUGAGAGGACGACCAGCCACACUGGAACUGAGACACGGUCCAGACUCCUACGGGAGGCAGCAGUGGGGAAUUUUGGACAAUGGGCGCAAGCCUGAUCCAGCAAUGCCGCGUGAGUGAAGAAGGCCUUCGGGUUGUAAAGCUCUUUUGUCAGGGAAGAAACGGUAGAGGCUAAUAUCCUUUGCUAAUGACGGUACCUGAAGAAUAAGCACCGGCUAACUACGUG
rnacentral:rRNA from 1 species